AAUAUACUCCCUCCGUCCGGAAAUACUUGUCAUUGAAAUGGAUGUAUCUAGAUGUACUUUAGUUCUAGAUACAUCCAUUUUCAUCCAUUUUGAUGACAAGUAAUUCCGGACGGAGGGAGUAGAAG
rnacentral:pre_miRNA from 1 species